GCGUUGAGAAUACUCUUGCGGGAGUAUUGGAGCUAUCAGUGAGAUACCACUCUUCUAAUGUUAGAUUUCUAACUUUGAACCAUUAUCUGGUCAAAGAACAGUUUCAGGCGGGCAGUUUGACUGGGGCGGUCGCCUCCCAAAUGGUAACGGAGGCGUACAAAGGUUUCCUCUGAACGGGUAGAAAUCGUAUCUAGAGUGUAAAGGCAUAAGGAAGCUUGACUGUGAGACCUACAAGUCGAACAGGGACGAAAGUCGGUCUUAGUGAUCUGACGGUUCUGAGUGGAAAGGCCGUCACUCAACGGAUAAAAGUUACUCUAGGGAUAACA
rnacentral:rRNA from 1 species